rnacentral:lncRNA from 1 species
AAUUGAGUAUUAUGGUAAGUGGUAAGUAAAUGUAUGGAAAUAUGUGAUACCUGCUAAGUGCUACGUGUUAAAUGUUAGAGUGUUAUUCUUGAUAGUAUAAUGUAUUAAUAUUGAAUUAUUUUCCGUUUUAAAGAUAAGCUGUUAGUUUCUUUCAAUCAUUAUGUGUUUAGGUGCCGCAUGUCUGGGCGGAUUAUUUAUCAUUAUGUGUUAGGUGCCGCAUGUCGGGGCGGGUACUUUUCUUAUGUGAUUUACUGCAUGUCGAGGCAGAUUUUCUUUAUAUUAGUAUUUUAUUUAGUUUAAAGAGCUUGAUUUGAUUGAUUUGAAAACAGGGGGAUAGUCCUAUUUACGAAUAGGUCAUGCCGAAUUUUCUGUAGAAGUAUUAACUUAAGUUACGCGUUCUCGUGUUAAAUAAUAUUCUGAGUUGGUUGUAAGUUGUAAAACUAUAACGUGUGCUACUUGUUAUGUGCUAUAUAAUGUGCCAUGUAUAUAUAUGUAUAUAUAUAUCACGAAAGGGUAGAAAUAGGAUAGUCGUUUCGGAAGGAUACUAAAUUAGUAUCUUUUUGCUUAUAAUAGGAUCGAGCAUUGAGGGCGUGAUACCAAGCAAAGGCAAGAAAAGGUGAGAGUUGUAUAGCGGUUCAGUAGUUACGGAUUGUUCGAGACGAGUAGAACCAGACGUUGGGGAUCAAGACUGAACUUAGAUAAGAUUCGUAUCAGGCUGCAGCAACCGCAUGAGCGCCAUAGCAGAGAAUCAGGAAUAGUUGAGGGUGAUGUCUUGAGAAAGCAGAAUAAGAUAAGGAUGUUAGCUAAGAGUGUAUAAGCUAAGGACCAAAGGCAAGUAUUCUCAUUUCUCUCUUAUAUAUUUGAAAGUGCAAGUAUUCCUACCUUUCUCUUAUAUUUGAAAGAUCAAGUAUACUCCUCUUUUAUCCAAAAGAAGUGUCCAUAUUCAUAUUUUAAAAUCUCUGCAAGUACUUCUGACCAUAUCUCUGGUGGUUCAGAUUAUAUAUUAAUAAAGUAGAGCAAGAAUGCAUCUCAAAUAUCAAAUGUUUUAAGUACGUAUUCCCCUGUUUCUAUGGAUUUCAAUAUCUUUUAAAAUGUGGUUUAGGGGAAUAGUAUCUUGUGAUUAUCUAUCCCGAAUGAGAUUUUAAUUCUGAAAAUGUUUAGUGAUUAUCAUUGCUAAACUUUUGAUGUGUUGGAAAAUGUUUAGUGAUUAUCAUUGCUAAACCUGUGGUAUAAUUCUUUGAGACAUGGUAUUGAUUCAUGAAUAUCAUGUAAUGGUUUUGAAAAUGGGAUAGAUACAAAUCAAAUUGGAAACUGGAAAUGGAUCAGAUAUCUCUAUUUGGAGCUGCGUAAGAGGUUCCGUUAUUUGAUAACGACCCAGCAUGUGGUUGCGUAAGAGGCUAAGUCGGGGUGGUGCACAUUGUUAAACCCCCUAGUCCAGCGUGCUAAAGACCUAGCUAGUCUUUAGGUUCCGGAACAUUUAUUCGUGAUGGCCUCGUCGCCGUCCGGUGUUGAUAGACUGAUCAGCUAUCUUCACCUGUUAGCGUCCGAAUAUAUCUGAUAAUUCGUUUUGAGAUUCAAUUCUCUUAUAGCAUGCCAGAGAAAAAUUCUGAGCUUAAAAAUGAUAUGAUCUCUUAUGUUUUAAAAGCAUGCUAGUUAAAGGUGAUUUCCAGUUUUAUAUCAAAUGAUGACUUAAGGCUUUAUACUCAAAGCAUACAUGAUUUUUAUGUCAAAUGAUGGUUUACUGCUUUAUAUUCAAAGCAUGCAUGAUUUCUAUACUCUUGCUCUUAUAAAAUGUUUUUCGAUUAUAUCUCUCGUUUAUUCAAGUUGGCACUGCUGAGCGAUUCAUAGCUCAACCUUGCAAAUUAUCUUUAUACAAACUAUUUUACUACUAGAACUUGCUGAGCAUUUUAGCUCAUUCUUGCUUUUCAAUUCUAAACCUUUCAGCUAAGGACAGAGAUGAAUUACUGAUUAGGCUGCGCUUGAGAGUGAUGCUAAGCUGCAAGGAUUGCAAGUGGUUAAGUUAUACAUCAGAGAUCAGGUUGGGUGUUUUCUGAUUUCAAUACUGUAACCUGGAUGCGAUCCUGUUUUUAGGGGGUU